GACGAACGCUGGCGGCGUGCUUAACACAUGCAAGUCGAACGAAGUGGCGAACGGGUGUGUAAUACGUGGGUAUCCUUCCCUCCUUUUUGGGCUAAGCCUUGGGAACGGGGUCUAAUACCGAAUAAAGGGGGUUGGGUGCGCGGCCUAUCAGCUUGUUGGUGGGGUGAUGGCCUCCCAGGGCGGGGCCGGGGAGCCGGCCGGGGAGGGUGACCGGCCACAUUGGGGAUGAGCUACGGCCCAGACGCCUACGGGAGGCAGCAGUGGGGGAUAGUGCACAAUGGGCGAAAGGCUGAUGCAGCGACGCGGCGUGGGGGAUGAAGGCUUUCGGGUUGUAAACCUCUUUCGCUAGCGAACGGGUAGGUGGAGAAGAAGCGCCGGCUAACUACGUGCCAGCAGCCGCGGUAAUUC
rnacentral:rRNA from 1 species